rnacentral:rRNA from 1 species
AUUGAACGCUGGCGGAAUGCUUUACACAUGCAAGUCGAACGGCAGCACGGGGGCAACCCUGGUGGCGAGUGGCGAACGGGUGAGUAAUACAUCGGAACGUGCCCGGUCGUGGGGGAUAACGUAGCGAAAGUUACGCUAAUACCGCAUACGAUCUGAGGAUGAAAGCGGGGGACCUUCGGGCCUCGCGCGAUCGGAGCGGCCGAUGUCAGAUUAGGUAGUUGGUGGGGUAAAGGCCUACCAAGCCGACGAUCUGUAGCUGGUCUGAGAGGACGACCAGCCACACUGGGACUGAGACACGGCCCAGACUCCUACGGGAGGCAGCAGUGGGGAAUUUUGGACAAAGGGCGCAAGCCUGAUCCAGCCAUUCCGCGUGCAGGACGAAGGCCUUCGGGUUGUAAACUGCUUUUGUAUGGAACGAAAAGGCUCUGGCUAAUACCUGGGGCUCAUGACGGUAUCGUAAGAAUAAGCACCGGCUAACUACGUG